AACAUGGCAUGUGAUGUAGAUGAGGUACUGUAGCCAGGGAGAACAUGGCUUGUGAUGUAGAUGAGGUGCUGUGGCCAGGGAGAACAUGGCUUGUGAUGUAGAUUAGGUGCUGUAGUCGGGGAGAACAUGGCUUAUGAUGUAGAUGAGGUGCUGUGGCCAGACCAAAAUAGGAGGCAGGAUGCAGCCUAAUGUCUUUCUUAAAAUGUUCCUGUGUUUUUGUCUUUGUGUUUAGGGCUUUGAAAGAAUGAACCACUCAUUUGUUUUUGUAUAGAAAACCCUUUAUCUUACUGCAUGUUUUCUCCUGUUGGGUACAGAGAGUGUUACAUACAAUGCAUUUUGGAAAUAAAUGACUGUUUUUUUGUUACUGUAUUGCAUUUGUUUGAGUAGGUAGCCAUUAAUGUAACAAUAUUUUACAACCAGCUACAGUAACACUGAAACUGCUAAAGUUAUAAAACUACUGAUGGGAUAUUCAGUGUUUUGUGUUGAGCACAUCAGUGUGUUGGUUGGUAGACUGAUCUAGUCAUAUGACGUGUGUCAUUGUGAUGCAAACAUUUUUUUGGGGGAAAAAAAUGUUUUUUUGUUUGCUUUUGCUAGAGGUUUGGAAAAAUGGCCCAAAGAUUCAGCAAACGUGUAUAAACGAACACUUGAGAUGCUGUUUACCCUGGCUGUGUCUCAAUUACAUCUACUUUCUCAUGAGGUGUGCACUUGUUCAUUUACCUUUAUAGUUUUGCAAUGAAAUGACUGGUAUAUGGAAUCUCCCUCUAGCCCAUGCUAACACCAAUCCAAUGCUUU